rnacentral:rRNA from 1 species
AGCUCCAAUAGCGUAUAUUAAAGUUGUUGCAGUUAAAAAGCUCGUAGUUGGAUUUCUGUCUUUAACUGCCGGUCCGCCCAUGUAUUUGGGUGUGAACUAUGGUUGUUAAAUUCAUUUUUGUGAGAAUCCUUAUCUGGCAUUAAGUUGCCGGGUUUGUGUACUUGCAUCUUUUACUGUGAAAAAAUUAGAGUGUUUAAAGCAGGCGUUCGCUUAUUUGAAUACAUUAGCAUGGAAUAAUAAGAUACGACUUGUGUGGUCUAUUUUGUUGGUUUGCACACGCGAGUAAUGAUUAAUAGGGACAGUUGGGGGUAUUCAUAUUUCAGCGUCAGAGGUGAAAUUCUUGGAUCGCUGAAAGAUGAACUUAGGCGAAAGCAUUUACCAUGGAUGUUUUCA